rnacentral:rRNA from 1 species
AGACGUCUACAUUAGAUACCCGUGUAGUCCUAGCCGUAAACGAUACUCGCUAGGUGUCGGCCACGGUGCGACCGUUGUCGGUGCCGUAGGGAAGCCGUGAAGCGAGCCACCUGGGAAGUACGGCCGCAAGGCUGAACUUAAAGGAAUUGCGGGGAGCACCACGAACGCGUGGAGCCUGCGGUUUAAUUGGAUUCAACGCCGGACAUCUCACCAGGGCGACAGCAGAAUGAUGGCCAGGUUGAUGACCUUGCUUGACAAGCUG